UAUGCUUAGACACUUGUUUUCCCCUAUAUAUUUUUAAAUUUAUUCAUUUUUGUUUUUAUUUUCUUCUGCUUGAUUUGGGUUUAUUUUGCAGUUUUUUUCUUGGAUUUUGCAGAUGUGAGCUUAGAUUGUUGAUUUGACCCUUUUUCUCUUUUGUGUAGGUUUAUGCUAUAAAUUUCCCUCUCUGAGGGUUUUAACUGUUCCUCACAAGUUUUGAUGUUAUAUUUUAAUUUUUAUUCAGUUCAGUAUAUAUUUUUAUUUCAUUUGAGACUUUGUUGUCUCAUCAGUUGUUUAGCUCAGGGAUUGUUUAGUACCUGGACAGGUACUAGUCCAGGUUUGGUAGGAAUCGGGCUGCACAUCAGGUGGUGAGCUUGAAUGUAAUAUACUUGAAUCAUCCUGAACCCCCCCCCCCCCACCAUCUUCUGGUCAUGGAAAAAUUGUCUUCAUGAAAUUGGUCCCUGGUGUCAAAAAGGUUGGAGACUGCUGAUAUAAAUGUUAUUGAAAA